CUCUCCACAGAUGAACAGCUUUAGUUUAGUCUGUCUCCUUCUGUGCACGGGAGUGGCUUCCUUCAGAUUUGAGGAGUUGACACAAUAUGUGAACAGCCAUGAAGAGGAAUUUAUCGAGGAUCCACAGCACUAGCACGUUGAGCAUCAGCGUCACAGUCACCUGUGUCUCGUAGUGUUUGCCGUGGAGCCGGAUCUGAUCCGUGAGCGACGUCACAGGCAAGAGCAUCAUCACGCUGCCCAGCGGAGGCUCCGACGACGGCCUGCAUUCACAGAACGAGAAGAUCAGCAGAUACAGCUACAUGGAGCGAACCAAGCUGUUCAACGCCUUCCUGCAAGAAGUGUCUCAGAUCGAGAAGCACUCAUAUAAACACAUCUCUUCAUUACUAAUGCCAACAAAACCAAUUAAACAAGAGUUUUGCAUGUUUUUAUCAGUGUGAGUGAAAUAUGAACAAACCUCCAGAAUAUAGAGAGGCAUUCUGUUGUACUGUAUGUAA